rnacentral:rRNA from 1 species
GACGAACGCUGGCGGCGUGCUUAACACAUGCAAGUCGAACGGAAAAGCCCUUCGGUUGUGGUGUGCUCCGAUGGCGAACGGAUGAGUAACGCAACAUUCACCUGGCCUUGGCUUUAGUAUAACUACAUGGAACUAAGGCUAAUACCUGAUCGGAUCUCCUACGGCAUGUGGUGGGUAGGAAAUUUUCGUCGGGUGGGGAUGGACUCGCGGCUUAUCAGCUUGUGGGUGGGGGAGUGGCUUACCAAGGCUGUGACGGGUAGCCGGCCUGAGAGGGUGACCGGCCACACUGGGACUGAGACACGGCCCAGACUCCUACGGGAGGCAGCAGUGGGGAAUAUUGCACAAUGGGCGGAAGCCUGACGCAGCAACGCCGCGUGGGGGAUGACGGCCUUCGGGUUGUAAACCUCUUUCAGCAGGGACGAAGCGCGAGUGACGGUACCGGCAAAAGAAGCACCGGCCAACUACGUG